CGAGCAACCUGCCCUUAGCUCUGGGAUAACCCCGGGAAACCGGGGCUAAUACCGGAUAUGAGUCCGAGCGGCAUCACGCGGACUGGAAAGUUUUUCGGCUAAGGAUGGGCUCGCGGCCUAUCAGCUUGUUGGUGGGGUGAUGGCCUACCAAGGCGACGACGGGUAGCCGGCCUGAGAGGGUGACCGGCCACACUGGGACUGAGACACGGCCCAGACUCCUACGGGAGACA
rnacentral:rRNA from 1 species